ensembl:lncRNA
UUUUCAUGAUGGAAAUUAACAUAUUCAAAUGUUAUUAAAACAUUUUUUUGGGGGGGGGCAUUUAAGAGCAAGAGUUAUUAUACAGUCUGAUAGCAGGUAGAGUGGUGUUAUACACUCUGAUAGCAGGUAGAGUGGUGUUAUACAGUCUGAUAGCAGGUAGAGUGGUGUUAUACAGGACAGUUAUACAGUCUGAUAGCAGGUAGAGUGGUGUUAUACAGGACAGUUAUACAGUCUGAUAGCAGGUAGAGUGGUGUUAUACAGUCUGAUAGCAGGUAGAGUGGUGUCAUACAGUCUGAUAGCAGGUAGAGUGGUGUUAUACAGUCUGAUAGCAGGUAGAGUGGUGU